rnacentral:tRNA from 1 species
GAGGGUAUGGCUCAGUGGUGGAGCCCAUGCCUAGCAUGCAGGAGGUCCUGGGUUCAAUCCCCAGCACCUCCA